CUUCACAUUUUAUAAUAGAACUGAAUCUCAGACACCGUAUGUGAGUGUGGUCAAUUCAGCAAUAGAUAACUUUGCCAAUGGUUACUUUAUUAAAUAGAUAUUUCGCAGAUAUGUUUAGUAAACUUCCGUAACUAAAUACAUGAAACUCUCGUACUGUUAUUGUUAUGUACAAUGGUUUCUGUGAGAGACCCUAAGUAACAGAAUUUAUUGAAUCGCCCUCGCAGUGCAACUUUCACCAAAGUAAGUGGUUUCAUUCAUAUUUAUUUGAUUUAAGCUAAAACAGUAACAAAACCGUUGUGUUUGAUUGCUUGACAUUGUGUCUGGACUGAAGGGUAAGAUAUACAUUGAGAUCAUUCUACAUAUCCUGGCUUUUGUGUUUUAAAGGCAUAGGCUAUAAGGAACGUAUGACUAUCAUUUUACGAGAAAUACAGACGUGUGUUAUGUGCAAUAAUCAUUUCAGUCCGAACUCCAUAAGUAUUUUGUUUAUCCAUAUAUCAUAAAUUGUCCUGAAUAUAUAAAAAAUGUAUAAUACAGUUUUCAUAUGAUAUGCAACAACUUGUGACAUAUGUUGUGAUAUGUGUAUUGGCCUUAAUUUAUAUGUAAUCAUGUCAUAUUUUAUGUUAAUUGGCAGAUUUUACUAUAAUAAAGAGGAAGGGUAUUUUUCAUCGAGCAAUAAUUUUUCUCUGUGUGCAUAUUCUACAAAAUAUAUUUAAGAAGUUUUGGCUUGGUCUUCGGCGGCAGUAACACUAAACUGCGGGCUGUGUGUUGUGGGUUGCUAGAAUGGAAAAAUAGUCUAUUGUGGCAAUCAACCCGCAACCCGCAACCAGCAAAAUAUACUGAUUUGCAUGCAUAAAUAACAAGUUUAAAUAUCUAGUUUUUAUCUGAUUUAACAUCAAAGUAAAACUUAAAACAAUGCAAAAAAUUAUUUUGAAAUACUAGUAAUAAUUGUUUAUAAUGAAUUAAUACAUAACUUAUAAUAAGAUGGUAUCUUAUUAUAAUAUUGUCUUACCAGCACUUGAUAUGGUCCUCACUUUUAUUCAGCAUGCAGCUUCACAAGAAAAUUUCAUAUACAUCAACGCAUGGUGUUGGUUGAGAAAAAUAAACACUCGUCGGCGGCCGAUACAAAAUAAAGGAGAAUUAUAAACGUUGCUUCUUCAAAUCUAUUUAAUUUGUGGAUAAUUUAAUAUACUAGAACUUUGGUAAAAUUGUCGUGAAAACGAAGAAAAUUGUACCAUUUCCAGGAAGUUGAGAAAAGCAUGUCGAGUAAAACAUGUAAGACAGUAUCAAGACAGAAUGAAAUCGCAAGAAAGGCACCAAAGCCGGCAGAUUGGAACUUUAGUCGGCUAUUGUUGUACAUUGCAAGAAACCUUUCUGACAAAGAACUUUCAAAUCUGAAACAGAUGGCAGUUGGAAACGGGCUCCUUCAUGAAAAUCAAGUUGAGAAACUCACCUCGUGCAUGGACUUAUUUUCUGCUCUGCGUAGCAUGCAGUAUAUGGACAGCAAGAAUAUGACAUGCUUGCAGCAAAUGCUGAUGCUGAUUGAAAGAAAGGAUCUAAUUCUCAAAGCCAUUGAAUACUGUCAAAAAGAAGAAGACGGCGAAAUGGCGCGAAUGCUCAAAGCGUCUGACGAAGACUUAGAAUACGGGCACAGUUACGCUCGAUUUCAUUUUGACAACCUGUAAUCCAUUGACUGCAAUGUGAAUUUUAUCAGCUAUUUCAAAAUGAGAAUAUCUUCACUGCUUUUCGUCCCCCCUGAUCAUGUCAUAGUAUCCGGUGUUGAGGAAACCUGUGAAAACGAAGAAAAAACUCUAAACCCGUACCUUGGCAUUAUUAUAACUCUCAUGAUACCAGAUAUGUUUAUAUCAAUCUUACAAACCAUGCUAGAAGACGGGAAAAGGAUGUCAGCAAUUCGCCUUUUCGGAGUAAAGGAAGUGGUGAUUCAAAACAAGACAUAUUCACUGACUGAAGGCAGUGUACAUAGACGACAUUUUGGUCCACAUGAAUUACAUACAGAUCUGAUCCACGAGAAAUUGCUUGAUAGAGAAAGAAAGCCAGAACUUUGGGACAGGCAACUUGAAAACAAAGACAACUUUUCAAACAAUGGACAUCUUGAUAAUACCUUUAAUGAAAAACUGUCAAGAAUAAAUCAGAAGUCAGGCAUGUCGAUAACGCUUUGGAAAAACUUUGGUAUAGUAAAUGAAAAAUCAACUAAACCACAGACUAGCCACGACGAACUGCAGAGGCAAUGCCUGUAUGCAAAGGUCACUCGGCUUUAUCCCCAGCUAACCUACGAGCAAACCCCAAAACAGAAAGAAAAACAGAACAAUGGAAAUACUGAACAAUGAAAACAAUGGUAUAGAAAUAAUUACUGCAUACAUGAUUGAUGUUUCAAAUUUUAUAGUUCAUAGUUAGAAUUAUUGUAUAAACGUUUGCUAUCUUGAUAAGUAAGAUGUCUCCGUAUGCAUCAGAAAUACCAUAUUAAUAAGUGUCAUUCUUCACAUAUAUUAUUUUCUGAAAUCAGAGUUUUCGUAAUUGCAUGCCAGCAUUAAGUAAAAUUCAAGUAAUUAAUACUCAAAACCAUAGAAUUUAGGGACAGUUUAGUUCAUAGCAUAUAACAACAUUAAUAAAAUGAUAUAAGUACAUAAAGGCAUUACCUCACUAGCAGAUCAUUUUCUCAAAAAUCGUGUUUAUUUCAGCACUGAAUAUUAUAGAAGUCAUUUUAUCUUUGUUAAGCUAGUAUUUGAUAUCACAAAUGUUAUCGGCUAUAAAGUUCAGUGUAUAUAAAUUUAAAAAUAAUGUUAAGAAGUUAAUACUUUCUGCAAGACCACUUAGUUAGGUUAGUUAGUAAGACUACUUAGUGAGUGUUUGUGCUAAAACAUUCAGGUGAACAUCGAAAUUAGGAUAUUAACGUAUAUGAUUUUUACAAGCUGUUUACCAGUGUUAUCUAUGUAGGUCUUUUAUCUGCAAUGUGUAAACUACAGUAAAAGUCAUUCUAUAUCAGUUUUGCACUGCGUGAUUAACACUGUAAAAUAACUUCAAAUCUUAACAGCCGUGGUGUAUGUUUAAAAAGAUGCGGCCUAAACUUUAUUGAAGUAGUUUGAGUUUAAUUUUUAUUUCCCAUUUCUGUCAAAGGGGAGUAAUUUCAGAAAGUCUGACCUAAGGCUUGAAAAUGCCGGGCCUCCUAAAACUGAUAACAUUAAUAGUACUUAUAGUAGUAUGCAGACAGUAGUAGAUAAUAUAAUAUCUUAUUACU
rnacentral:misc_RNA from 1 species